UUCCAGCAAGCUCCAUCUGGAACACCGUCGGCUGACUGGGAAGUUAAGGAAGAGAAGGAGACACACUCAAGUUGGGAGGAAAAGAAAGAAGAGAGAAGAAAGUGAGAAGAGAGGAGAGAAAGAGGAGCAGAAAGAGAACGAGAAAGGAAGGAGGUGAUGGUGACAGAGGAAGGUGGAAAGGGAAGAGUGAGCGGAGGAGCUCCGCAGCAAAUGAAAGAGCUGGCUCUUUGUGCUGGGAAUUUCCACCCCCAAAGAGACGGGAAGAGGCACCGCUUUCCGAAAGGUAGAUGCCGAGGUGAGAAGCCCCGAGGAAGAUACGUUGCUGCUGGAGGCUGUGAGCUUCACACGCUCUUCGAGCCUGGAGGGAGCCUCCAGAGAACCCUUCCUUCUCCAGAUGUCCCCCAGAAUUCUUGGGGGGCAUAGGAUGCUGAGGUCUUGGGAAGUCCGAGAGUGGACUGAGAAAGAGAAGAAUAAAUUCCGUGUUCUACAUCUUUUAA